rnacentral:rRNA from 1 species
GACGAACCACACGAACGUUAUUCGGAAUUACUGGGCUUAAAGGGUGCGCAGGCGGCCUGGCAAGUUGGGUGUGAAAUACCUCGGCUUAACCGAGGAAUGGCGCUCAAAACUGCCGGGCUUGAGGGAGAUAGAGGUGAGCGGAACUUAAGGUGGAGCGGUGAAAUGCGUUGAUAUCUUAAGGAACACCCGUGGCGAAAGCGGCUCACUGGAUCUCUUCUGACGCUCAGGCACGAAAGCCGGGGGAGCGAACGGG